CCCGGUACCCGUACGAUCACCUCAGUUAAGCAAUGUCGAGCCUGGUCAGUACCUAGAUGGGUGAUCGCUUGGGAAUAACAGGUGCUGUAA